AUCCAGCUGGCGAGUUCCAAAAAGGGCGAACGCGCGUCCUGUAU
rnacentral:hammerhead_ribozyme from 1 species